UUGGUUAAGUUAGAAAGGGCGCACGGUGGAUGCCUUGGCACUAGGAGCCGAAGAAGGACGGGACUAACACCGAUAUGCUUUGGGGAGCUGUACGUAAGCGUUGAUCCAGAGAUUUCCGAAUGGGGGAACCCACUAUCUUUAGUCGGAUAGUAUCCUUACGUGAAUACAUAGCGUGAGGAAGGCAGACCCAGGGAACUGAAACAUCUAAGUACCUGGAGGAAGAGAAAGAAAAAUCGAUUUCCUGAGUAGCGGCGAGCGAAACGGAAAGAGCCCAAACCAAGAAGCUUGCUUCUUGGGGUUGUAGGACACUCUAUACGGAGUUACAAAAGAAAGUUAUAAAUGAAGCGGUCUGGAAAGGCCCGCCAAAGACGGUAACAGCCCGGUAGUUGAAAUGGCUUUCCCUCCAGAGUGGAUCCUGAGUACGGCGGAACACGUGAAAUUCCGUCGGAAUCCGGGAGGACCAUCUCCCAAGGCUAAAUACUCCCUAGUGACCGAUAGUGAACCAGUACCGUGAGGGAAAGGUGAAAAGCACCCCGGAAGGGGAGUGAAACAGUUCCUGAAACCGUGUGCCUACAAGUAGUUAGAGCCCGUUAAUGGGUGAUAGCGUGCCUUUUGUAGAAUGAACCGGCGAGUUACGAUUUGUUGCAAGGUUAAGCGGAAAAAGCGGAGCCGUAGCGAAAGCGAGUCUGAAUAGGGCGCAUAAGUAACAGGUCGUAGACCCGAAACCAGGUGAUCUACCCAUGUCCAGGAUGAAGGUAAGGUAAUACUUACUGGAGGUCCGAACCCACGCACGUUGAAAAGUGCGGGGAUGAGGUGUGGGUAGCGGAGAAAUUCCAAUCGAACUUGGAGAUAGCUGGUUCUCUCCGAAAUAGCUUUAGGGCUAGCCUCGAGGUAAAGAGUCAUGGAGGUAGAGCACUGUUUGGACUAGGGGCCCUUCUCGGGUUACCGAAUUCAGAUAAACUCCGAAUGCCAUGUACUUAUACUCGGGAGUCAGACUGCGAGUGAUAAGAUCCGUAGUCGAAAGGGAAACAGCCCAGACCACCAGUUAAGGUCCCCAAAUAUAUGUUAAGUGGAAAAGGAUGUGGGGUUGCUUAGACAACCAGGAUGUUGGCUUAGAAGCAGCCACCAUUGAAAGAGUGCGUAAUAGCUCACUGGUCGAGUGACCCCGCGCCGAAAAUGUACCGGGGCUAAACAUAUUACCGAAACUGUGGAUGAACCUCUUUAGAGGUUCGUGGUAGGAGAGCGUUCUAAGGGCGGUGAAGUCAGACCGGAAGGACUGGUGGAGCGCUUAGAAGUGAGAAUGCCGGUAUGAGUAGCGAAAGAAGGGUGAGAAUCCCUUCCACCGAAUAUCUAAGGUUUCCUGAGGAAGGCUCGUCCGCUCAGGGUUAGUCGGGACCUAAGCCGAGGCCGAUAGGCGUAGGCGAUGGACAACAGGUAGAGAUUCCUGUACCAGUGCUAAUUGUUUAACCGAUGGGGUGACACAGAAGGAUAGGGAAUCGCACGAAUGGAAAUGUGCGUCCAAGCAGUGAGUGUGAGAAGUAGGCAAAUCCGCUUCUCGCGAAGCAUGAGCUGUGAUGGGGAAGGAAAUUAAGUACGGAAGUUCCUGAUUUCACGCUGUCAAGAAAAGCCUCUAGGAAGAGUAGUACUGCCCGUACCGCAAACCGACACAGGUAGAUGAGGAGAGAAUCCUAAGGUGAGCGAGAGAACUCUCGUUAAGGAACUCGGCAAAAUGACCCCGUAACUUCGGGAGAAGGGGUGCUCUAUUAGGGUGCAAGCCCGAGAGAGCCGCAGUGAAUAGGCCCAGGCGACUGUUUAGCAAAAACACAGGUCUCUGCAAAACCGUAAGGUGACGUAUAGGGGCUGACGCCUGCCCGGUGCUGGAAGGUUAAGAGGAGUGCUUAGCUUCGGCGAAGGUACGAAUUGAAGCCCCAGUAAACGGCGGCCGUAACUAUAACGGUCCUAAGGUAGCGAAAUUCCUUGUCGGGUAAGUUCCGACCCGCACGAAAGGCGCAACGAUCUGGGCACUGUCUCAACGAGAGACUCGGUGAAAUUAUAGUACCUGUGAAGAUGCA
rnacentral:rRNA from 1 species